UCAGCCUCUCACCCUUGAAUAGCUGCCAAAUGGCUUGGUUUAUAUGGCCUUGUAAAGUCCAGCUCCGUGCAGAGACAGCUGAGGUGGUGUGAAAGGCAGUUGUGGCCACACAGGCGGAUUAAAGAUGGAUUGCUGCAAAACUGCGCACCAGCUUCCUUACCAUGCCUCCAUCCCAGGCGGGCUAUACCCAUCCAAGGUCAUUACUGUGUCAGGCAUUGUCCUGGAAAAUGCUCAGAGGUUCAGCAUCAACCUGUGCACCGAGAGUGACAUCGCCUUCAACCUGAACC